AUUAUUCCUUCAGCUUUAAUAAUUCAAACUCCCUGUCUGCCUUACAGGGAGUUUUCCUCUCGCCUGGAAGACACAUGAUGCUGACUGGGGAGAUCCCCAGUCUGCUGCUCGUAUUUUUAAUGGAAAAUCCAUAUGGGAUCUAAAAGAUUUAUGUGGAUUUCCACUCUCCAGUUACUUGGGAUUUUUACUCAAGAGUGGUGCUCAGAGCUCCAGGUGACCAUGAGCCAGCGCGGUGGCUGAAAGCUGCGGCAACACAGCGCUACCGGGGGAGCCGCUCCAGAAAUGAGGACAGCUAUCUGCCUCCUCUUUGCAGAGACAACUUAUGAGGUCAAGUGGUACACCAGUAAGUGCAGUUAAGUCAAAAGGAGACCAGGGAGUGUUUCUUUCUCCUCCGCUUCUCUUUUUCUGUGAAUCCUACUUUCUGCCCCUGGGACCGUGGCGAUGCUCAAGCACUCUCUUUCCUUGCUGUCCAAGGGCGACGUGGAUCAACCCCUAAAUCUUCUCCUAUAAAAGUAGCUUUUAUACCAGAUGAAUGGUAAAAGAAAGACAUUUAUGUUUUAUAAGAGCUAAUAGCACAGAAUGUAAACACUAAGAGCUGACUGUCAAAUACAAUUCUGUUGCUAUGCACAAAUUUAGAUUCAAGGUUAUGCAGCUCCAAACGCUUCACUGAAAGAAGUGAUACUUCCAGUUGUUUAAAGUCUUUGUUAACACACAGCUAUUAAUUUAAUUUAUUAGUUUUUUUACAUGCAUUUUCUGCAAUAAAAGUAUAUUUUGUUUCUUCUUGGCAAUGAUGUAAUGCAAAGAUUUGGUUUCCAUAUAGAUAUGUUACAUAUUCCAGGGGAAGUGCAAAUUGCUAGCAACAUUGCUUAAGCACAGAAAUUCAUGUAGUAAGACAGAUUUAUUGGAGACCUACUGAAUUAGUUCACAUAAUAUAUACCCCGCAGUUUGAUAUUGCCUUCUGCCCUCUCAGCUUUACAAAUAUUAAGCAGAUUAGCUUGACCAUGCAGCGAGCUAUGCCUGCAAUUUCCCGUUUUAUGGAGAGGUUAAAUGAAACACGACAAAAUAGUUGUGCUGACUGUGGUCAUAGAGGAAAUCCAUGACUAGACAAGAAAGAAAUCUCUUAAUUUCCAUGCCUGUACUCUACACCAGUGAUGACACCCUCUUGUUAAGUAUCAUACCUGUCAUUUUAUAUGCUGUUUUUCAUGAAAGAGAAGUUGUAGGAUACUUUUUAAUAGGGAGCAUCCCUAAUUAUCUUCUGCCAAGGGCAUUUAUGGGUUUAGCCUGAAUCCAGCUCUUCCAGUGCCUAUGAGAGACUGAAAAUGUGAAUUAUAAUGAGUCAAAAUCUCUUACAUGGUCAUUUCACCUCUGCCUGUCAUGUUGUUGUCCCUGGCUAGCCACUACAAGCAAUGAUUGUGAUGUAGAGGUGAGUUCAGCCGUUUGGUGCUGGGCAGCACAAAUGGUCACCAUGAAAAUAUGUUCCAUGGCUUAGGCAACAUCACUUGAAGAACUGGGGAGAAGAAGGGCACAGCAGCUCCUCACAACACCAAAAGUCCCUUUUCCUGCAUAGAGGGGAGAGUGAAACUGUCCUGUCAUGGAGAAGAAAUGGCCAUGUGCCUUGGGCUGCUUGCUCUGGGGGUACAAAAGCUUCAUUUUCUGCUUAUCUUGGGUACUUUGUCUUUUCCCUCCUGUCUUUCCUGUCUACAUCUUCUAUACUCUCACUGGUGCUCGCAUGCUUAAAUUUUGCUGUUAUGGUAGCUUGACCUUCACAAUUCUUAAAUGCAGCAACAACAGAUGUGUGCCUGCUGCUUUUCCAGUUGUUUUAUUUGAGCAUUUCUUCUGUUUGUUCACUUUUCCUCCCACCACUCGCAAUUUGUGUUUUCAGUAUCCUAACUAUAGAGCUGGGGCUGCUCUGUGUGACUCUACAAGGACAUUUUUGUUACUGGAAUAAAAACAGUCAUGUGUCCUAUUCAGUGUUCUGUAUGUGAUGUAUAGGGAAGUCUAUGUAAAUCUUCAGGUGUUGUUACCUAAGCCAACGAGAUCUUAAGGGAAACCUCUAGUAAUAUUACAUCAUAGCAUAUAAUAAGUUUGUCUCUGCAUUGUGGUUAUAAAUUAAUUAAUGGCAAGCUGAGACAAAACCACUGCCAACAACAUUAUGUAUUACAAACAAAUGGGUUACUGAUGAAACUUAAACUUUACUAAAGAAUCAGACUUAACUUUGAAUUUUAAAUUCCUGUACACUUUUUUUUUUUUUUUAAAUAAUAACAAGAAUUGGUAUCUGUGAGCGAGAAGUCAGCAUUGAUGCAACAGCACACAUCUGAAAGUGUGAAAUCAGCACGAAAGUUGAAGUACUGUUUCUUAAAGUACUUUUGGAACUGGCAAAAAGUGGAACUUUCUCAGAGCUGUUAAAAGUCCUCAAAGCUGUUAAAAGUCCUCAAAGUUGUUGAAAACACUGUAAUCUUCAGAAAGGAACUGUGCCUGGCAUGUAGUGUUAUCAACGGAGAUGCUGCUCAUUUUCUGUGGAUUAGGGAAAGGUGAUUUUUGACCUAUAUUUUAAAUUUGUAGUAAUUUUUUUUUCCAAGUUAUGCACUACA